rnacentral:lncRNA from 1 species
UAGUUACUAAUAUGAUAAAAAUUUUGAGUUUUGCAUUAGGCAAAUAUAGAGAUGCUCAGACAAAAGCGGUGAAAAUUUAUCAAGGGGACACAAAUAUUGGGGAUGAGGUAAAAAAAUUUCUAAUUUUUUUAUUAGCACCUACUUUUAUUUUUUUUGAAAUAAUUAAUUUUUUCCCACUUUAUUUGUUUUAGUUGAUGCAAGCAAACAGUUGGUACCUAAUUU